UAGGUCGACCCGCUGAAUUUAAGCAUAUCACUAAGCGGAGGAAAAGAAACUAACCAGGAUUCCCCUAGUAACGGCGAGUGAAGAGGGAAAAGCCCAGCACCGAAGCCUGUGGCAGCUUUGCUACUAGGCAAUGUGGUGUUUAGGUCGGCUCGCGGGAUCGCCACUCCACUCGAAGUCCAGCCUUGAUUAUGGUUGCCAGGAAUUGGCCCAUAGCGGGUGAUAGGCCCGUACGGGUGGAGGUGUCAGAUGUGUAAGGCGAUUCACCAGGCCGGCCUUAGAGUCGGGUUGUUUGCGAAUGCAGCCCAAAGUGGGUGGUAAACUCCAUCCAAGGCUAAAUACUAGCACGAGUCCGAUAGCGAACAAGUACCGUGAGGGAAAGUUGAAAAGUACUUUGAAGAGAGAGUAAACAGUACGUGAAACCGCAUAGAGGUAAACGGGUGGCGUCAAGCUGCAAGCCCAGAGAAUUCAGUCGGUCAGGGUGUUGCUUUUUUCUGCGCCCAGCGCAGCUAUCAGUCGGUGUUCCGACUAGUCCGCCGGCAGAUGGCGGGCCCAGCUGUCACAGGCUGGGAUUUGCGUACCGAGUGUUAGUCGGAGCAAGCUAGUCGACCGUGGGACUGUCUGGCCGAUGCACUUUCUCUGUGGUGAACACCACGACCGGUGGAACUGCCAGUCUACCUUAGCCAGCUUCGUGGCCCGCUCAGGCUCUCGUGGUCAGAGCGGGUGGCGAUCACAGGCGAUUUCAGUGCACGGUGCUUGCGGGUCUUGGCUCGUAGGCAUGCUAUCGGGUACUGGUUGUCAACGGGUCGGCCUGGACACUGUCCUGUAGUUGCAGUGUGCAUUCUGGGUGACUCGGUGGGCUAUGGCGGCAGGAGAAGCUGUGCAGGGCACCGGAGAUGUCGGUCUGUUUAUGACGGUCGCGCACGCACUACAGCUUGGCGUGUGCCGUGCAAGGCACUGAUAGCGUUGCCAGGGCCUGCCAACCUCUGGGUCUGAUCUUCGUGUCGCCCGUCAAAAUGACGGGUCCGAGGGUGGCCUGGUAUUGGAUGGUGCCUGUGGGCGGCGUGGUCUUUGUGCGACCGUGUUGAGAGACCAGAUAGUCAGUGGUGUAGUGGUAGACGAGCUACCCGACCCGUCUUGAAACACGGACCAAGAAGUUCAACAUGCGCGCGAGUCAUGGGGUCCUACGAAACCCAAAGGCGCAAUGAAAGUGAAGCCCUGUUACAUCUCGGUGCAGCAGGGUGUGGUGAGAUCCCGCUGUUUCUCGCAUGCACUUGUUUGUGACGAGGACCGGCAGCUGGGGCUAGCUAUGUUGUCUCGUGCAACACAUCUAGACGAGCAGCGGGCGCAUCACCGGCCCGUCCCAUGAUGUGGCUACUGGUUUGCAGCGGUGUAUGUCGGGCAACUGACUACCCGUCUGUCCGGUACGUCAUCGGGGCGGAGCAUGAGCGCGCAUGUUGAGACCCGAAAGAUGGUGAACUAUGCUUGCGUAGGUUGAAGCCAGAGGAAACUCUGGUGGAGGACCGCAGCGAUUCUGACGUGCAAAUCGAUCGUCAAACGUGAGCAUAGGGGCGAAAGACUAAUCGAACCAUCUAGUAGCUGGUUCCCUCCGAAGUUUCCCCANGAUAGC
rnacentral:rRNA from 1 species